rnacentral:rRNA from 1 species
GUGGGGAAUCUUCCGCAAUGGACGAAAGUCUGACGGAGCAACGCCGCGUGAGUGAAGAAGGUUUUCGGAUCGUAAAGCUCUUUCGUUAGGGACGAACGUGCUCUUUGUGAAUAAUGAGGAGUAAUGACGGUACCUAAAUAAGAAGCCACGGCUAACUACGUGCCAGCAGCCGCGGUAAUACGUAGGUGGCAAGCGUUGUCCGGAAUUAUUGGGCGUAAAGCGCGCGCAGGCGGGAUAUCAAGUCGGUCGUAAAAGUGCGAGGCUCAACCUCGUGAGGGGACAGAAACUGGUAUUCUUGAGUGUCGGAGAGGAAAGUGGAAUUCCAAGUGUAGCGGUGAAAUGCGUAGAGAUUUGGAAGACCACCAGUGGCGAAGGCGACUUUCUGGACGAUGUCUGACGCUGAGGCGCGAAAGCUAGGGGAGCGAACGGGAUUAGAAACCCUUGUAGUCC